rnacentral:rRNA from 1 species
CCUACGGGAGGCAGCAGUGAGGAAUAUUGGUCAAUGGACGAGAGUCUGAACCAGCCAAGUAGCGUGAAGGAUGACUGCCCUAUGGGUUGUAAACUUCUUUUAUAUGGGAAUAAAAUGUUCCACGUGUGGGAUUUUGUAUGUACCAUAUUAAUAAGGAUCGGCUAACUCCGUGCCAGCAGCCGCGGUAAUACGGAGGAUCCGAGCGUUGUCCGGAUUUAUUGGGUUUAAAGGGAGCGUAGGUGGAUUGUUAAGUCAGUUGUGAAAGUUUGCGGCUCAACCGUAAAAUUGCAGUUGAAACUGGCAGUCUUGAGUACAGUAGAGGUGGGCGGAAUUCGUGGUGUAGCGGUGAAAUGCUUAGAUAUCACGAAGAACUCCGAUUGCGAAGGCAGUUCACUGGACUGCAACUGACACUGAGGCACGAAAGUGUGGGUAUCAAACAGGAUUAGAUACCCGAGUAGUC